rnacentral:rRNA from 1 species
CCUUCGGGGGCAAAGUGACAGGUGGUGCAUGGUUGUCGUCAGCUCGUGUCGUGAGAUGUUGGGUUAAGUCCCGCAACGAGCGCAACCCUUAUUGUUAGUUGCCAUCAUUUAGUUGGGCACUCUAGCAAGACUGCCGGUGACAAACCGGAGGAAGGUGGGGAUGACGUCAAAUCAUCAUGCCCCUUAUGACCUGGGCUACACACGUGCUACAAUGGGAAGUACAACGAGUCGCAAAGUCGCGAGGCUAAGCUAAUCUCUUAAAGCUUCUCUCAGUUCGGAUUGUAGGCUGCAACUCGCCUACAUGAAGCCGGAAUCGCUAGUAAUCGCGGAUCAGCACGCCGCGGUGAAUACGUUCCCGGGCCUUGUACACACCGCCCGUCACACCACGAGAGUUUGUAACACCCGAAGUCGGUGAGGUAACCUUUUGGAGCCAGCCGCCUAAGGUGGGAUAGAUGAUUGGGGUGAAGUCGUAACAAGGUAGCCGUAUCGGAAGGUGCGGCUGGAUCACCUCCUUUCUAAGGAA